UACGUAGGGCGCAAGCGUUGUCCGGAAUUAUUGGGCGUAAAGAGCUCGUAGGCGGUUUGUCGCGUCUGCUGUGAAAACCUAAGGCUCAACCUUGGGCUUGCAGUGGGUACGGGCAGACUAGAGUGCGGUAGGGGUGACUGGAAUUCCUGGUGUAGCGGUGGAAUGCGCAGAUAUCAGGAGGAACGACCGAUGGCGAAGGCAGGUCACUGGGCCGCAA
rnacentral:rRNA from 1 species